rnacentral:rRNA from 1 species
UGGGGGAUAUUGCACAAUGGGCGAAAGCCUGAUGCAGCGACGCCGCGUGGGGGAUGAAGGCUUUCGGGUUGUAAACCUCUUCCGCUAUCGAACAAGGCCCGCUUAGGGUGGGUUGAGGGUAGGUGGAGAAGAAGCGCCGGCUAACUACGUGCCAGCAGCCGCGGUAAUACGUAGGGCGCGAGCGUUGUCCGGAAUUAUUGGGCGUAAAGGGCUUGUAGGCGGCUUGUUGCGCCUGCUGUGAAAACGCGGGGCUUAACUUCGCGCGUGCAGUGGGUACGGGCAGGCUUGAGUGUGGUAGGGGUGACUGGAAUUCCAGGUGUAGCGGUGGAAUGCGCAGAUAUCUGGAGGAACACCGAUGGCGAAGGCAGGUCACUGGGCCAUUACUGACGCUGAGGAGCGAAAGCAUGGGUAGCGAACAGG